CCUACGGGUGGCUGCAGUGGGGAAUAUUGGACAAUGGGCGAAAGCCUGAUCCAGCCAUGCCGCGUGUGUGAAGAAGGCCUUCGGGUUGUAAAGCACUUUCAGUGGGGAAGAAAGCCUUGGGGCUAAUACCCUCGAGGAAGGACAUCACCCACAGAAGAAGCACCGGCUAACUCCGUGCCAGCAGCCGCGGUAAUACGGAGGGUGCGAGCGUUAAUCGGAAUUACUGGGCGUAAAGCGCGCGUAGGCGGUCUGAUAAGCCGGUUGUGAAAGCCCCGGGCUCAACCUGGGAACGGCAUCCGGAACUGUCAGGCUAGAGUGCAGGAGAGGAAGGUAGAAUUCCCGGUGUAGCGUUGAAAUGCGUAGAGAUCGGAAGGAAUACCAGUGGCGAAGGCGGCCUUCUGGACUGACACUGACGCUGAGGUGCGAAAGCGUGGGUAGCAAACAGGAUUAGAUACCGAGUAGUC
rnacentral:rRNA from 1 species